rnacentral:tRNA from 1 species
GCGUCCGUAGUGUAGUGGUUAUCACGUCUCUUUCCCAAUGGGCUCAGGCUUUAGUAGCUAUCUCAGGCGAAAAGAGGAGGGCACGGGUUCGAACCCCGUCGGUCGCA